ACAUCCCAGCAAUAAGGAAAUGUGAGUCAGGCCUGCUCAGAACCGUGCACCUUUCACCUUGGCCGAAGUGUCCGGUGUCCACUCUGGACCUGGACAGGCCAGAAAAUGAAGUGUCUGUCUGAGUGGCUCAACAGGUCUCCUCGCUGUCUGAUACCACGGUGGACAGCACCCCGGCCUGUGGCCUCACUGCCUGCCUGGGCCUCCUGGGUCAUGUGGGACGCAGUCCAGCAGAGGUGGUGACUGUAGCAACCUCUGCUACAGGGCCUCCUCUCCUGCCGGCCUGCAGUGCACCCAGCCGGACCCCUCACUCAGCUCUAACCACAGGUGGGGGUAUGGACACCACGGGGAAAGAUGUGGGGAGCAGUCCUGUCCAAAGAGGAGGUCCUUCCCUUCUCUGCUCACCUAGCAGGUGGCAGCUUUUGAGGUGGCGUUCCAGCUGCCAGUGCUCGGGCCACCAGCCUGGCGGGCACGGGUACCCACCCACCCUCAGCCAAGGCCAGUGUGAGCCUUUCGUGAACUGCCGACCCCUCCCUCCAGAGGACAGUGGACGCCCAGUGUGCAGGGCCUGAGAAGACGGAGGUUGAUUGCUUUUUCGGGAAGGAAAUGUUGCUGUUUCCGGGAGCGAUUCCACAAGCAGGGGCCUGUGUGGUAUGAGACCUGCAGCUCGUCCUUUGUUAACGACCCUUCUGGCUCUGCCAGUCCUGAGACUUCCCAAGAGAUUAGCACGGUGGCAUUAAAUGACGUGACACUGGCUGCUGCCUGCACCCGCUUUCCCAGAAUUCCAAUCACAGCCAUGGUCCCGGAACAACACUGCAUACGUUCAGAUAGCAUGCUAUGGCUACUAUUUCUCUCUUGGCUGUGGACAUCAAACCACUCUACUUAACCGUCUCUACGUGCCAGAGAAUGACACAGGAAACCCAGCCAACAGCCGAGUCUUCUCUGCUUUACUCAGAGUUGAAAAUCCUCUACUGUUAUUAUCGUUCAAGGGUAACACGCAGACUCUUACCUCUGGUCUACAAAAACAAACUUCCCG